rnacentral:rRNA from 1 species
ACUCCUACGGGAGGCAGCAGUGGGGAAUAUUGCACAAUGGGCGCAAGCCUGAUGCAGCCAUGCCGCGUGUAUGAAGAAGGCCUUCGGGUUGUAAAGUACUUUCAGCAGUGAGGAAGGUGGGUACUGUUAAUAGCAUACUCAUUUGACGUUAGCUGCAGAAGAAGCACCGGCUAACUCCGUGCCAGCAGCCGCGGUAAUACGGAGGGUGCGAGCGUUAAUCGGAAUUACUGGGCGUAAAGCGCAUGCAGGUGGUUUGUUAAGUCAGAUGUGAAAGCCCGGGGCUCAACCUCGGAAUUGCAUUUGAAACUGGCAAACUAGAGUACUGUAGAGGGGGGUAGAAUUUCAGGUGUAGCGGUGAAAUGCGUAGAGAUCUGAAGGAAUACCGGUGGCGAAGGCGGCCCCCUGGACAGAUACUGACACUCAGAUGCGAAAGCGUGGGGAGCAAACAGGAUUAGAUACCCUGGUAGGCUCU